UGGGGAAUAUUGGACAAUGGGCGCAAGCCUGAUCCAGCCAUGCCGCGUGGAUGAUGAAGGCCCUAGGGUUGUAAAGUCCUUUCAGCGGGGAAGAUAAUGACGGUACCCGCAGAAGAAGCCCCGGCUAACUUCGUGCCAGCAGCCGCGGUAAUACGAAGGGGGCUAGCGUUGCUCGGAAUUACUGGGCGUAAAGCGCACGUAGGCGGAUCCUUAAGUCGGUGGUGAAAUCCUGGAGCUUAACUCCAGAACUGCCUUCGAUACUGGGGACCUUGAGUUCGGGAGAGGUGAGUGGAACUGCGAGUGUAGAGGUGAAAUUCGUAGAUAUUCGCAAGAACACCAGUGGCGAAGGCGGCUCACUGGCCCGAUACUGACGCUGAGGUGCGAAAGCGUGGGGAGCAAACA
rnacentral:rRNA from 1 species